rnacentral:tRNA from 1 species
GUGCCGUUAGCUCAGUGGCAGAGCAGUAAAAAUUCUGUCUUGUAUCAGACAGUAACAGCAAUUAUUCACCUCAUAAGUGACUUGUCGCAGGUUCGACUCCUGCACGGCACG